CGGCAUUAGAACCCAGGUCCUUCUGACACCCAGGCCCGGGCUCUCUCCACUAGGCCACGCUGCUUCUCGAGAGGAUGAGAUUCGACUGGGACGAGUGUCUUUUUUCCCACUUCAGAGGAAAUACAAACAUCAAAGACGGAGGCUGCGGAAAGGCUAGUGUGUCAAGUUCCACCUAGGAAAACGACGACUGGCAAGGCCAGGAUCCACCUCCUGAGCACCCUUAGCGACAACGAAUCCCUGACCGCCGCCCGCGGCCCCGAGACCCAAAUUAUCAGCAACCCCGGCGGCCGUGAACCUCGGGCCGCCGCCCGUAGCCUGGAAAGCCAACGCCUUCGCUCGCCCAAGACCUCUUCGGCCACCGAGGGUCCGCUGGAUGACCCGAAGCCGACAGUGAAGGGGCUCGGCGGAUAACGAGAGGCCAGUGAAGACGACGACCGAGACGGGCGGAGCGGCAGGCGACACGCCAAUCCGGCGCACGGACAGAUAGGACUUGAGGGGAGGGGUGGGACGAGAGGGAAGGGUGAGGGGACGCGGGACCAGCGGGGAAUAUAAGGAUGGGCUCAUCCUCGGGGCUUUGGCUACCAGAACGGCCACUGACCCUAUUAUUCGUUGCAACAAAAUGAAUAAAAGCUUGACCCGA